UUUAAAGUCUAACCUGCCCAAUGAGGAGUUAAAUGGCCGCGGUACUUUGACCGUGCAAAGGUAGCAUAAUCAUUAGUUUUUUAAUUGAAAGCUGGUAUGAACGGUUGGACGAGAAAGUGACUGUCUCAAUUUAAAUGUAAUUAGAACUUUAUUUAUAAGUAAAAAAGCUUAUAUAAUUUUAAAAGACGAGAAGACCCUAUAGAAUUUUAUAAUAAUAUAUAUAUUUAUUUAUUGGAAUCAUAAAGUUUAUAUGUAUAAAGUUAUUUUGUUGGGGCGAUAGAAAAAUUUAAUGAACUUUUUUUAUAUAAUAUCAUUAAUUUAUGAGUGUAUGAUCCGUUAUUUACGAUUAUAAGAUUAAAUUACCUUAGGGAUAACAGCGUAAUUUUUUUUUAGAGUUCUUAUCGAAAAAAGAGUUUGCGACCUCGAUGUUGGAUUAAAAUUAACUUUUGGUGUAGGGGCUAAAAGGUUAGGUCUGUUCGACCUUUAAAAUUUUACAUGAUCUGAGUUUAAACCGGCGUGAGCCAGGUUGGUUUCUAUCUUUAAAAAGUUUAGAUGCUUUAGUACGAAAGGAUUAAGUAUCUAUAAAAUUUAUUAUAUUUUGAAUAUGAUUAA
rnacentral:rRNA from 1 species